rnacentral:rRNA from 1 species
UACGGAGGGUGCGAACGUUAAUCGGAAUCACUGGGCGUAAAGCGCGCGUAGGCGGUUUGUUAAGUGGGAUGUGAAAUCCCCGGGCUUAACCUGGGAAUUGCAUUUCAAACUGGCCGACUAGAGUACGGUAGAGGGAGGUAGAAUUUCCUGUGUAGCGGUGAAAUGCGUAGAUAUAGGAAGGAAUACCAGUGGCGAAGGCGGCCUCCUGGAUCGAUACUGACGCUGAGGAGCGAAAGCCAGGGGAGCAAACGGG